rnacentral:rRNA from 1 species
UGAGACACGGUCCAGACUCCUACGGGAGGCAGCAGUGGGGAAUUUUUCGCAAUGUGGGCAACCCUGACGAAGCAACGCCGCGUGGGUGAUGAAGUAUCUCGGUACGUAAAACCCUUUCGACGGGGAAGAAAACCGCAAGGUUUGACGGUACCCGUAGAAGAAGCCCCGGCUAACUCCGUGCCAGCAGCCGCGGUAAUACGGGGGGGGCAAGCGUUGUUCGGAAUUACUGGGCGUAAAGGGCGCGUAGGCGGUUUGCUAAGUUGAAUGUGAAAACUCUGGGCUUAACCCAGAGCCUGCAUUCAAUACUGGCAGGCUAGAGUUCUGGAGGGGAUAGCGGAAUUCCUGGUGUAGCGGUGAAAUGCGUAGAUAUCAGGAGGAACACCGGUGGCGAAGGCGGCUAUCUGGACAGAGUCUGACGCUGAGGCGCGAAAGCUAGGGGAGCAAACAGGAUUAGAUACCCUGGUAGUCCUAGCCCUAAACGAUGGAUACUUGCUGUGACUGGGAUUGAAUCCAGCCGUGGCGAAGCUAACGCAUUAAGUAUCCCGCCUGGGGAGUACGGUCGCAGGGCUGAAACUCAAAGGAAUUGACGGGGGCCCGCACAAGCGGUGGAGUAUGUGGUUUAAUUCGACACUACGCGAAGAACCUUACCUGGGCUCGAACGGCUAGUGACAGGGGUGGAAACAUCCUUUUCCCGCAAGGGACAUUAGUCGAGGUGCUGCAUGGCUGUCGUCAGCUCGUGUCGUGAGAUGUUGGGUUAAGUCCCGCAACGAGCGCAACCCCUGCCUUUAGUUGCCACCAGGUCAAGCUGAGCACUCUAAAGGGACUGCCGGUGAAAAACCGGAGGAAGGUGGGGAUGACGUCAAGUCCUCAUGGCCUUUAUGUCCAGGGCUACACACGUACUACAAUGGGCGGCACAAUGAGUUGCAAGCCCGCGAGGGGGAGCCAAUCUCAAAAAACCGCUCUCAGUUCGGAUUGCAGUCUGCAACUCGACUGCAUGAAGCUGGAAUCGCUAGUAAUCGCUGAUCAGCAAGCAGCGGUGAAUACGUUCCCGGGCCUUGUACACACCGCCCGUCACAUCACGAGAGCCCGUUGUACUAGAAGCCGGUGAUUCAACCGCAAGGAGAUAGCCGUCCAAGGUAUGACUGGUGAUUGGGGUGAAGUCGAAACAAGGUAGCCGUAGGAACCUGUGGCUG